GAUGGAAAAUUUGGAUGAGGGCGUUUACAAAUGGACAGAUGAGCACACACGUCUGCUUAUCCGGUGGAGAGCGGCUAAUGAAGCCCUCUUCACCAGAAAGCGGAAUGCUGCCAUCAAAGGCUUUGAAACUUUUGUGGUGAAGCAGGACCUGCAAGGCAAGGUGACGGCGGCAUUUGUGG